rnacentral:rRNA from 1 species
AUUGAACGCUGGCGGCAUGCCUUACACAUGCAAGUCGAACGGCAGCACGGGGCAACCUGGUGGCGAGUGGCGAACGGGUGAGUAAUGCAUCGGAACGUACCUUUCAGUGGGGGAUAACGUAGCGAAAGUUACGCUAAUACCGCAUAUUCUGUGAGCAGGAAAGCAGGGGAUCGCAAGACCUUGCGCUGAUUGAGCGGCCGAUGUCAGAUUAGCUAGUUGGUGAGGUAAAGGCUCACCAAGGCGACGAUCUGUAGCGGGUCUGAGAGGAUGAUCCGCCAAACUGGAACUGCGACACGGGCCAGACUCCUACGGGAGGCAGCAGUGGGGAAUUUUGGACAAUGGGGGCAACCCUGAUCCAGCCAUGCCGCGUGAGUGAAGAAGGCCUUCGGGUUGUAAAGCUCUUUCGGCCGGGAAGAAAUCGCACGGGCUAAUACCCUGUGUGGAUGACGGUACCGGAAUAAGAAGCACCGGCUAACUACGUGACAGCAGCCGCCGUAAGAC